rnacentral:tRNA from 1 species
GGUCCCAUCGUCUAGCGGUCUAGGACGCCGGCCUCUCACGCCGGUAACACGGGUUCGAUCCCCGUUGGGACUACCA